rnacentral:rRNA from 1 species
AUUGAACGCUGGCGGCAGGCCUAACACAUGCAAGUCGAACGGUAAGAGGAAACAGCUUGCUGUUUCGCUGACGAGUGGCGGACGGGUGAGUAAUGUCUGGGAAACUGCCUGAUGGAGGGGGAUAACUACUGGAAACGGUAGCUAAUACCGCAUAACGUCGCAAGACCAAAGAGGGGGACCCUCGGGCCUCUUGCCAUCGUAUGUGCCCAGAUGGGAUUAGCUUGUUGGUGGGGUAACGGCUCACCAAGGCGACGAUCCCUAGCUGGUCUGAGAGGAUGACCAGCCACACUGGAACUGAGACACGGUCCAGACUCCUACGGGAGGCAGCAGUGGGGAAUAUUGCACAAUGGGCGCAAGCCUGAUGCAGCCAUGCCGCGUGUAUGAAGAAGGCCUUCGGGUUGUAAAGUACUUUCAGCGGGGAGGAAGGGAGUAAAGUUAAUACCUUUGCUCAUUGACGUUACCCGCAGAAGAAGCACCGGCUAACUCCGUG